rnacentral:lncRNA from 1 species
AGGAUCCCCGCGGGCCGACCGGGGCAGCCCGGGAGCCGAGGUGCGGCGGAGAGCCCGCGGAUCAAAGGAAUCUGGAGAGAAAGGGGAAGCGGGCGGCCGGCCCCGGCCGGCCUUCCCCCCCGCAGGCCACGCCGACCUGGGGUGGGGGGCUGCGGGCCGCGGGCGGGGACUCCGGGAUUUCCCGCCUGCCUGAGUCGGGGCCUACGCCGGCGCCCGCUUCGGGCGGCUCGGCCCGGAGGGGAGCUCCGGAGAGCCCGGGGCUCGCAGGUAAGCACCGGCGCUCCGCGGGCCGGGCCGGGGACGCAGGACAAGGCGCGGGGCCCACCCCGGCUGGCUCGGGAGUGGCGGUCGCGCGGGCCCGGCUCCCGUCUCCGGCGUCUCCCGGCUCCGGCGGCCGGGACCCCCCGCGGCCGAGCCCCUGGCCAGGCCCCAGGCCGGCGCCUUCGGAAGCGACGUCUGGCGGGCCGCGGGGCACGAGGGGGAGAGCCGGGAAGCGUAAAUCCCCGAAGCGCGCGGAGAUCCGAUUAGCGCGCGGCUAUUCAUUAGGCUGGGGGCGAUUGAAUUAGGUCCCUGGGCGCGGUCGCCGGCUGGGGGUGUGUGGCGCCGACCCCCGGGCUCUUGCCGUGGCCUCGGGAGGCUGGAGCAGCGAGCAGCGGCCCCAGCGAGUGUGUCGGGGAAGCGGGUGCCUCCGGGUCCCGGCCCCGCGGGUGCAGGCGGAGGCUGCCCGCUUCCCGCGUACACCGAGGACGGCCGGCCCGGCUCCGGAGAAAUGGCGCUUGAGAAAGGAGGGGAGGGGAAGGUUCCCGGACCCUGGGCAGGGACCCGUCGCCGGGGACCCGCGGAGCCCUCCGGGGAUGGAGGAGGCGCGAGCUGGAAGCGGCGCGCGAGCCCGAGCGCGGGGCUAACACCGUGGGGCCCAGUCUCUCCUGGCUCGGGUAAGUGGACGCGCCCCGAGGCCCCGGGUCCACGCAGGGCGCCCCUCGCAGACGGCGCAUUUCCUACUCUCCUAAGGAACCGAGUUCCCAUCACUGCCUCCGAUGAGCCUGUUUCCGGAUCAGGAACCUUUUUCAAGUUAAUUUUUAAAGCCUCAUUUGAAUUUUUUAAUAUAGGAAAAUACGUAUACGAGAAAAAUCUUGGAUGCAACAAAAAGAACACCGUGGCCACCCGUGGUGUCCCAGAAGUUGCUCUGAGCUCCUCGCAUCAGGGCAGGUGCUCCACCUCUAACCGCCCUGUGGGGGAACGGGAGGCCCCAAGCCCCUGGGAGUCCUGGUCUCCUCUAGAGUGUGUUGGAAGGACAGCCGCUGGAAAGGCCCCUCAGAGCCCCUAAACCAGCCUCCCCUCCCCCGUGGGCAGAUUGUUCGAGGGUCCUGGAGCCUGAAUGAUGGGCCCUCGGCUUGCCCACCCCCAUCCCCAGUCAUCAAUCACCAUUUGAGAAAUGCCCACUGCCAGGGACAUGGGAGGGCAGAGGGUAGCUCGCGGGUGCGUGGCCCCUAUCUCCUCAAGCUGGUUUAGACCCUUCUGGCUCAGCCUCACCAGAUUCCUAGGAUGAGCACUGGCUUCAAAUCCCCCAAGUGCUGGUCCCUUCGUGUCCCCGAAAGAGGCUGCUCGCGUGGGCAAAGGCCCCGAGGCGUCGAGUGCGCCUUCCAGGGCAGUGCGGAAGCUCCCUGCCCUCCUCCUUCCUCCCCACUUCUGCCUCCUCCUCCCCCAGUGUUCACUUGAAGCAAAUUCUAGUGGGCUUUUUUUUUUUCAAUACUGUUUCAAAACAGUUGUUACAGCAAAUAACUGCAGACGGGUCUGCUGGACGCGGUGGAGAGGGGCUGGCAGCUGCCCAGCACAGGCGCCUGGCCGCUGGGCAGCUCCCGCAAUACCAAAAUAAGCUCCCGAGUUCCCCUGGAAGACUUGGGCCGCCGGGAGCUCAGGCUGGCGAUCUGCUCAGAGGAAACCUCCCUACUUUCCUUUUUUACUCUUCCUGCUGUCCAGAGCUAACAAAUGUUUUUAAUUUCAGAGGAACAUGGUGUGGGGAUCUGCAGACUUGCCUUCCACUGGGGAGAGGGCCAGCGAGGGGACAGAGGGGGAGGAAAGGAGAGGGGAUAAUAGACCCGAGGUCAGUGUUGAUGCUGGAGGGCCCAGGUCUCUGAAGUUCCUGCAGCUUUGCAGGUGAGCGGGCUGCAAGUGAGGCUAGGCCUGUGGACACCCAGUGGGGCCUGGAACAGUGCCAGGAGUGGCCUUGAACCCCACCUUGAUCCCUCUCCAGCAGGAUCUGGAGUCACUUCCAUGGGCCUGGCAUACACCACUCCAGAUUUGCCCUCUGGCCUGGGGAGCAGAUAACCCCCCGCCCCACAUAACCAGCUGCGCUCCUACACCUAGCAGGCCGGCUCACAUCACCCUUUAACGCACACUAUAUUCACACACACACUUGUGCACAGUCUUGAAUGUGUGCCCACACAUCUGCCUGCACACACUCAUGUGCCCACAUGUGAAUCACUUGGAAGUGUACACAAAACCAAACCCACAGCACAGAUGGGCAGACAGGUGAGCCUCGUGCAGCAUGUGACACUCCCACAUGCACAAGACAUGUGUGCAGAGGCAUAUCACACACGCAGAAGCACUCCCGAGAACUGCCUUCUCCCUUUCAGCCUAGGGGCCCCUGUUCCCCCACAACCGGGCCCAGCCCUGGAGCCCCCUCCAGCACUCCUCUCCCACCCCCACGCUCCCCAAGAGCAGCAGAUGUAGGUCUCCCGGCUCCCAAACCUCUGAGAUGCUGCUCUGUCUGAAAUCAUCAUAUAAAUAAUCAUUUUUUAAUACAAGGGGGUGGGGGUGUCAGGCAAGUUCCAUGAAAUUGUGAAUUAGCCGCUGCUCCAAAUAAAUGCCUGCUUCGGCCCGAGAGCAGCCGCGCUGCGCCCGCUGCGCCCCCAAUAAUCGUGUGUUGGGUAUCUCUCCAUUGUUCCCUGGGCCAUUAGUCAAAGGGCAAAUUAGAAACAAUUUCUUGACGACAAAAAUUGACUCUUAAUUCUUCCCACCAGAGGCGCAGGGGGACAAGUCCAGAGGCCAGGCCUGAGGCUGGGGCUGGCGGCAGGAGGGGUAGGCGGGGUAGAGGUGGGGUAGAGGUGGGGGAUCUAAGAUGGUUCACAGCACAGAGACCUCCCUCAACUGGAGGGCAGCAGCAGCUCACCCCCACCCCAGAAUCAGUGUUCCAGAGGACAGCUGGGGGCAGGGGGUUAGGAACAAUCCCACUCCCUCCUGGAAGAGGUCCUGACCCCCCACCCCACCCAUCUGCCUGUACGGGUCCCUCUGCUAUCGACUGGGGCGAGUUCUUUUCAUGAGGGCCUUGCCUGGUGCCUGGAGGGAACAGGGUGUGGGGGAAAGGUCUGUGUGUUCCCCCCUCACCUCCCCUGCUCAGCGGUGUGGCCUCUGGCUCUGGGGAGGAUCGGGAAGCCCCAGGGUCCGUGCCUUGGAGUGGGGGGACAGCCUUUUCUCUGCCACAGCUUCUGCCUUUGGAGGCUUACCCUUCCUAGGAGCAGAACUGUUGUGGAGGGGAAGAGGACGGCGAAGGUUCCGAAGGGAAGGGGGCUGCCCCCACUGAAAACGAAGCUUCCAGUCACAGCCCCUUCAUUAUUUAUCAGGACCCAGGGGAUGAGGUGGCAGGGGAGGGGGCUGCAUGGAGGGAGUGCCCUCACCCUCGUCCCCAGCGCCUGCCCCCUCCCGACCAGGCCUGGGCUGAGGCCCAGGGUAAGGGGGCUGAGGCAGGCCACAGAGGAGCAAGACUUGUCAGGGGCCAGACCUGGGUAGGAGGAUUGUCCUCCAGGCACACACGGCCCCCAGCCCCCCAGCCUGUCGAACUGGGCUCUCCCAGAAGGUCCCCGGCUCCAGCCCAAGCAGGGAGCCAGGUUGGGGGUGUGGGAAGGCAGAAGUCCCAGGGAUCCUGGGGGAGGCUCAGGUUGUACCUGAAGGCCACAGUCUCCUCGACAGACCUCGGACGAGGUUGUAAGUGUUUUAAAGAAACUAGAGCAGCAGAGAAGAGAGACUCAGAAGCCCGUGGCACGGCUUUCUCGGCGUCCCCUCCAGCGAGGGGGUCUCCAUUGCUGCAGUUGCCGGUUUUGUCCAACCAGGAGGUUGACCCGAAACAGCCCUCCGUCUUCCUGCCCAUGAGGAUGAGGACAGGAAGCCAGACCCGGGAGAGAAAGCCCAGAUCAGACAGAUGGGGGUUGGGAGGGCCUAGUGGCUGAAACUGCCCUGCUUGGGGACAAUGCUCAGGCAGGACCAAUCCAAACGAGGGCACUGCUUAUGUGGUCCUUCCGGAGCAUCCUCCAAGGCAGAGCCUGGCUUCGGGCCCUCCCUGCAAGGACACCUGCCUCCACUCCCUGCCAGACCAGGCCUGGCUGCAGAGGCGGAGGGGCGGCAGGGCUGCCGCCCUCCAGUGAGUUAUUCCUCGGAGUUCUCACAGAGCAGCAUGCGCCUGCGGCAAAGCCCUCACCUCCAGCCCCUGGACCACCUGACUGCUGCCUCCCGCCUGGCGCCAAACACGGCCACCGCCUCUUUUGUUAACAGGACAGUUGAUCCAUUAAAUUAAAAAUCAUUCAAUAGAUUCAUUUUUUUUUUCUGGCCUGAACAAAUACGUAUUCCAUCUCAAUUCAUGAAGCAUCAGUACCCGCUGCAGGGGUAAUUCCCCAGGCGGGAGAGGAGUUUCGGGGAAAGUGCCCCCAAAGGGAGACUCCCCAGAAAUCCCUUUCCAAGCAGCCAAGGCAGGCAGGCCAGAGGAGCCUGCCCCGGGCCAGGGCCCAGACCCACGCAGCCGCCCGCUCUCCCGGCCACUUCCGCCGGGGCCUUUCCGAGCGAAGUCCAUUAGGGCCGGGUCUCUGCGCCUCCCCUACCCGGGGUCCGGGCAAUACGCAGCCCCGACCACCGUCCUCGGCCCGGGGGAAGCGCAGACACACACUGGAGGCAUUUUCUUCCCUCCGGAAUUGAUUGGUUUUUGUUUUUGUUUUAAUAGCAGGACUUUUCCAAGCAAAAAGUCUCCUGAGGCGGGUGGUAAAAAAAUCAAAGCCUCUACAUCCAAGCCCGGAACAAAAGCCCUUUGGAAAUCCCGCGGCGGGGCCGGGCGCGGGCGGAUGCGGCGGGAGGGGCGGCCGAGCGCGCCCGGGACCCGCGUCGGGAGAAGCCGCGCAGCGCCUACCGCGGAGGUCGAGUCUCGGCGGCCCCACCUGCUCCGGAGUCGGCCCUGUCCCUCCGUCUGGGGAGGCGGCCGGAGGCGCCAUCACCGCAAAUUUAUGGCCCGGGUGACGCGCUUCCUACUCCCACAGUGGGGCCCGGUGACAUUAAACAGAAAAUUGACGAGAGCGGAGCGAAACCGAAUCCGUUUCCCUCCAGGCCCGUCCCCCUCGCUUUUCGGGGAGGGGACCAGGGACGGGAGGAAGGGCGUCCCUGAGUUUGUGCGCUCGGGAGCCCGUGCUGGAGGCUUCUCCCAGAUUCCAGAGCCCAGGCAGCGUGCUGGGGGCGCGCGACCCCGCCCGGACCGCACCCCUUCGCCGGCCGCAUUUCGGGCGGAACCUCGGCUCGCGUUCCACGCGCUCGGGGCGACCAGGCAGAGUGGGGCCCCGCACCCGGGUCGCUCCCGCUCGGAGGGCCCAGGCCGGAUGAGGCUCCGACGCGCCCUCGGCCCUCCCUCCGCGCCCCAGCUCCGGGGAGCGCCCCGCUGCCUCCAGCACAGCGGGGGAGGGAGGACCCCGGCUGCCCAGCCCCCACCCUCGCCGCCGCGCCCCGCCCCCGGCCGGCGCAAGUGGGAGAAGAGAGCGAGUGACGAGCGGGGCGCGCCUGGGUGGCUGCCGGGGGUCGCUCCUCUGGCCUCGAGC